CAUUAAUGAAAGAUCUUGAAAAGUGGUCAGAUAAACCAAUAUCAUGGAUUGGACGGAUACACUCUGUCAAGAUGAAUAUCCUCCCACGCAUAUUGUUCCUGUUUCAGGCGCUACCCAUCCGCCUCACCAAAGCACAACUGAUACCACUGCAACGAACAAUAGGGAACUUCAUCUGGCAGAACAAACGACAUAGAAUCUCCAGAUAGGUGUUAUAUAGACAUAAAGACAGAGGGGGGGCUGGGCAUCCCGAAUCUAUAUUUUUACUACCUCACGGCUCAACUGGCGCAAGUGGUUAUGUGGUACUCCCCGCCGGACGAGAGGAGAUGGGUUGAAGUCGAGUCCCUAAUGGUGGGCUCCGACAUCCCCCAGUUCAUGAUGUGGGUCCCUUGAGAACACAGACCCAUGAUACCGGCGACCUGCCCAGCGAUUCUCAACUCUCUACGAAUUUGGGACGCGACCAAUGUGAAGUACGGACUGACCUAGUCACCCUCCCCUUUGACACAGCUGUAUCGAAACAGAGAAUUCGCACCCAGUAUGGCUGCAAGGGACUUUCGUAAUAUAGAGAGAACUGGCCUUCAGAGGAUUUGCCACCUGUACCAGAAUGGACCGGUGGUGCGUUUUGACGAGCUUCAACAACGUCAACACUUAACACCGGACGAUUUCUUCCGAUAUAUACAGCUUCGGGACUUUGCUAGACGACCACAUAUCAAAGCAGCUGGGCGGACACGACACCCAAAGGACUCAUAACAAUGCUGUACUCCCACCUCUGGGCCAAAAUACGGAAUGGGGUAGGUUGACAUAUACGGACCAGAGGGAAGCGGAUCUCGGAGAGGUACUAGAAGGCAUCAAAUGGCAGGAGAUAUGGGAAGCAAAUAAAAACGCUUCGAUAUGUGUAACACUUCAGGAGCAGACGUGGAAGACCAUGUUCAGG